rnacentral:misc_RNA from 1 species
AACAGCUAAAAUGUGACGUGAAUAACGUCAACCAUAUUAAAUUACACAAUCAAUUAGUCCCCACUUUCCACAACUGAGAAAUUUGAAAGAUAUUAAUCAUCCGAUUAAGAGGGUAAUAUUUAAAUGUUCAAAUAAUAAUAAAUUAAAUCAUACAUGUUACCACCUGAAUACAGACCUUAUUGAAUAAAUAUAUAUGGAAUAGUUAUUGUCCCCUUCUGCCCAGUAGAACUGAAAAUGAAAUUUGACAGUAGUACAUAGUAACUGUCGCAACCCAACUAAAAUUAUAGCCAAACAAAGCACCACAACAUGGACAAUAGACAUACCAACACUGCGUCUUUAUGGAAUCUAACAAACAAAGAAACCAAAAUUUCGAACUACUAAAUCAUCGGGUCUCAUCAUCCAGGGCACGGAAACCUGCAGUUAGAUCCUCGUGCAACUUGCUGAAUUUUGCCACAAGAGCCGCUUCUCCCUCUGCUGGAUCCUCAAAUUUCUGAGACACUAAACGGUAGAAGAGAUCUCCCAACCGAUGCUUGAUGAGGCUGUAUGUUAUCUUCUGGCCAUCCAUACCAGCUGCUCUCUCCACACUCUGCAAGUAUAAAAGAUCCAUGACCAUGCUACGUCUUUAGAUUGUUGUACAGAUAUACAGAUAUAUUUAAGAUUAUCAUGUUUAAACUACUAAGUACCAAAGUUUCCCAUGCGCCAAACACAAUGACAAAGAUUCACAUAUUCCUUUUUUGAAGAUGCCAAUACUUACUACUAACACUAUGUCCUGCAGAACAAAAUUAGUUCACAAGGCUCCCUAGAAAAGCAAGUGUGGAAAAUGAAAAGCAAGAUAACUACAAAAAUCAAUGAAAGCACUCCACCAUGAUAAAACCUUAUUUUCAAGCCCCUUUUCAAAUCCAUGUUCUCAGCAACAAAGAGAAACACCACGAGCAUCACUGAAAAAUUAUAACUGCUACUGAAAAUCACCAUAUUCAGAGUGGAAGGCAAGAGAAGUAAAUGCACAAAGCAAUUCUGUUUCUUCCCGUCACUUAUUCCAGGAGAAACUUACAGAGAUAAAAAAGGGGAAAAGGAGGAAGAGAAAACAAUCAAAAAAGAAGGGGGCCAAAAAAAAGAUCUACUAGGCAUGUUAUAAAAUAGACUCUGGAAACAGUAAAUUGAAUACAAGCUGCUUCUCUCCUUCUUUAUACACAUGAAAAAAGGGGGAGGGGGGAUGAUCUACCUGAUUGGCCAAAUUGUAAAAAUGAAUUAUGUUGCGCAUCAUCCAAACAGACUUGUAGAAAGGACAGAACUUGUCAUAUGGAGUAAAUGCAUUUUGAGCAAGAUAGUCUUCCCUCAAAAGCUUUGCAGUCUCCAAAAUAAUCUUAUCUGCCUCAGCUAAAGCAUCCUUUCCCACAAGUUGGACAAUUUCAUUCAAAUCAUCUUCUCUCUGUAGCACUUCGCGGGCCUUUGUCCUGAUGUUAAUAAAAUCAGGAUCAAAUUGAUCAUAGAAAGACUCCAAUGCCUGGAAAAAGAAGAGAAACAAUCAAAUAAUUAAUAAUGACAGCUGCAUGCAAUAUAGGAAUCAAUGGGAAAAUGGCCUGAAAAUCAUUUUAAAAAAAGCAUAAAAACAAUAGAACUUCAGACACAAGGAUGGCAAAGAAAUUUCUAACAUACAGAUGAGUACUUGGAAUAGGAAAUAAGCCAGUUAACAGAAGGAAAAUGCUUCCUCUGGGCAAGUUUCUUGUCCAAACCCCAGAAGACCUGGACAAUACUGAGGGUAGCUGAAGUAACAGGAUCUGAAAAAUCUCCACCAGGAGGGGAAACAGCACCAACAAUUGUGACGCUACCAGUUCGUUCUGGUGAUCCAAGACAUUUUACUUUACCAGCACGUUCAUAAAAUGAGGCUAAACGUGCUGCCAAAUAAGCAGGAUAUCCACUAUCUGCAGGCAUUUCUGCCAGACGCCCAGAAAUUUCACGCAAUGCUUCUGCCCAACGAGACGUUGAAUCUGCCAUCAUGCUGACAUUGUAGCCCAUAUCUCUGAAGUAUUCAGCUAUAGUGAUUCCUGUAUAAAUUGAAGCCUCACGAGCAGCCACAGGCAUAUUGGAAGUGUUGGCCACAAGUGUUGUGCGCUUCAUGACAGAUUCUUCACGGCCAUCAGGUAAUGUCAUUGUCAAUUGUGGAAAAUCCAUAAGCACCUCUGCCAUUUCAUUCCCUCUUUCUCCACAGCCAACAUAAACAACAGUGUCUGAAUUUGAGUACUUUGAAAGAGCUUGACUAAUGACAGUUUUCCCACAACCAAAUGCCCCAGGAAUAGCACAAGUUCCACCAAGGACAGAGGGAAAAAGGGCAUCAAGAACACGCUGCCCAGUGAGUAGAGGUGUAUCAGCAGCUAGCUUUGAUGCAACAGGUCUUGAUGUUCUUACUGGCCAAGUCUGAAGCAUAGUAAACUGCUUUUUCACACCCUGAAACUCAAGCUCUAAAACAGUGUCCUUCAAUGAAUAUUGACCAGGAGGUGCAAUGUAAGUGAUUUUUCCCAUGGCAUCAGGAGGAAGUGCAACAUGAUGCUGCAUUAGACUGUUUUCAAAGACAGUUGCAUAUAAGUCUCCACCAGUCACAAGAUCUCCCUCACCUAAUUUUUUAGGCUGAAAUUCCCAGAGCGUAUCUUUGUCAAGGGCCGGGACAGACACACCACGAGGGAUAUAGACAUCACCAGAUCUUUUUGCAAUGGUUUUCAAAGGCCUCUGAAUUCCAUCAAAGAUAUUCCCCAAUAUUCCUGGUCCCAAUUCCACUGACAGAGGCUUGUGUGUCCGAAGAACAGGGUCAUUCACCAUCAAACCAGCUGUUUCCUCAUAAACUUGAAUUGUGGCAGAAUCUCCUUCUAGCCGAAUGAUUUCACCUAUUAGGUUGUCAUGGCCAACACGGACCAGUUCAUACAUAGCAGCACCAGCCAUGCCAUCUGCAACCACAACUGGUCCAGAUACCUUACGAACGUAACCGUACUCGCUCUCCUUCUCGGAAUCUUCAAAGGUUGUCAACCGUGCACCGUACACUGAUGGCAUUUUCUGAGAGACUAAGGGAUGUCACGAAACUGAUUAUUGAAAUUCGAUCCGACGAGCGGGACCGAUUAAAACCCUAGGGUUUCAGUCAAAACAAGCAAUUCACAGGUUCUAGCAAUGAUAAAUAGAGAAAGGGAGCCGUGAGAGCAUGAUUUAUGAAUAUAUGAAUGGGAGAAAGACACAGUUAUAGGCACCAGCGGACGAACACACACGGGUUUGUGAUGUUGGGGUGUGAGUGAUCCCCUGCUUGCUGUUAAACUGUAAUCUAUGCACUACCCGUUCAAAU